GACUCUCGGCAACGGAUAUCUCGGCUCUCGCAUCGAUGAAGAACGUAGCGAAAUGCGAUACUUGGUGUGAAUUGCAGGAUCCCGUGAACCAUCGAGUCUUUGAACGCAAGUUGCGCCCGAAGCCUUCUGGCCGAGGGCACGUCUGCCUGGGUGUCACGC
rnacentral:rRNA from 1 species